rnacentral:rRNA from 1 species
AUUGAACGCUGGCGGCAGGCUUAACACAUGCAAGUCGAGCGGGGUGAUGGUGCUUGCACUAUCACUUAGCGGCGGACGGGUGAGUAAUGCUUAGGAAUCUGCCUAUUAGUGGGGGACAACAUCUCGAAAGGGAUGCUAAUACCGCAUACGUCCUACGGGAGAAAGCAGGGGAUCACUUGUGACCUUGCGCUAAUAGAUGAGCCUAAGUCGGAUUAGCUAGUUGGUGGGGUAAAGGCCUACCAAGGCGACGAUCUGUAGCGGGUCUGAGAGGAUGAUCCGCCACACUGGGACUGGGACACGGCCCAGACUACUACGGGAGGCAGCAGUGGGGAAUAUUGGACAAUGGGGGGAACCCUGAUCCAGCCAUGCCGCGUGUGUGAAGAAGGCCUUAUGGUUGUAAAGCACUUUAAGCGAGGAGGAGGCUCUUUUGGUUAAUACCCAAGAUGAGUGGACGUUACUUGCAGAAUAAGCACCGGCUAACUCUGUGCCAGCCGCCGCAGUAA